UACGUAGGGUGCAAACGUUGCUCGGAAUCAUUGGGCGUAAAGCGCGCGUAGGCGGCUGCGAAAGUUGAAUGUGAAAGCCCUGGGCUCAACCCAGGAAGAGCAUCCAAAACUUCGCGGCUUGAGUCUCGGAGGGGCCCAGAGAAUUCCCGGUGUAGAGGUGAAAUUCGUAGAUAUCGGGAGGAAUACCAGUGGCGAAGGCGCUGGGCUGGACGAGCACUGACGCUGAGGUGCGAAAGCGUGGGGAGCAAACAGG
rnacentral:rRNA from 1 species